GCGACAGGAGGGGCUCGGUGCAGGCUAAUCCACGCGCGCGUUGUCCAGGGUCCCUCUACAGCGGUUUCCCUGGGAACCACUCUGGCUGGAAAACCUGCGGGUGCCAUUGGAGGAUGUGAACUCUCCUGGGAUGAUGCACAUUGCAUAUAGCGAGUGCACAGACUAGACCAUCGGAGCUCAUCAGUGAUCAGUAACGAGACCGACCUGAUCCUGAUCAGUAGUCAGGGGUUGUCUGCAGUGGAAGAACAAAGAGAUGCUCUGUACCCACUGAAGACGAAGGCUAUGGGCUGACGAGCCUAGCAUCGGUGGUCAGCCAUUUUGCCGUUAGCACUAUGAAGAGAAGGCCUUUUCCUCAGCUCUAAUGAUCAGCCAGCCUGUUUCUGUCUGCCCCACGCUGUCACCAGACAUCUGCACGUUGUUCGUGUCAGCUUGCCCAGAACUUGCUCACUGCAUUCCAAGAUGGUGGGGGCAAUUGCUCCUUCACUCCGUACGCAGGCUGCUAGGAGCCAACUGGCCUCCACCCCAUCAGUCAUGCCUCCACUCACGAGGCAGCAUCCAGAUCAGACUCUGCCUCAUAAGUUGGAGCAACCAUGGAACUUCCAGUCUGAACCAGUGUAAUUCCAAAACAAAAGAGGGGAACCACAGAUGACAGGUGUUCUUGGUUAGAAAAAAAGAGUAUCCGUGUGUAUAAAUGUAUGGUACUCCAUACAGAAGAAGUCCUGAGAAGCGGUGUGAUAAAAUUUCACUUGCAUGAUAAAGCUAAGGAAACUGCACAAGGAAAGCCCCGUAGAGCAGCGGAGUGUGGAACGUGCUCAGGUGGAAGCUGCCUUAUCAGGACAUCUUACUCCAGGGGGGAUGCUCAAGAUGGACUCCUUGUGCCUUGCAAGAUGCUGCUCUUUUUAACAUUGUCAAAUAACACCUGCUCACUAUGGAAACUUUUUAAAUACAGAGAAACAGUGAAACAAAUUUACCCACAGUCAUCAGCUCACCUUAUUAUUGGCUUUUUUUUUCUGUGCUCCUCUUUCUUGCCCUGCUCCUCUUUCUUGCCGUGCUCCUUUUUCUUGCUGUGCUCCUCUUUCUUGCCAUGCUCCUCUUUCUUGCCGUGCUCCUCUUUUUUGCUGUGCUCCUCUUUCUUGCCAUGCUCCUCUUUUUUGCCGUGCUCCUCUUUUUUGCUGUGUUCCUGUUUUUCGCGGGGUUUGCCAGAACCUCAAACAAGCACCCAGCCUUCUUGUGUAUUUUUCCCCAAAAUAUUACUAUUCAGAUGACCUUUUUUCGACUCAUUUGGGGCGGGGUAUUCGUUUUAGUUUUAUGUUGCUGUUGAGACAAGGUCUCACUGUGUAACCCUGGCUGGCUGGAACUU